GCAACAUCCUCUCCAAUCUUGUGUCUGGACCAUCUAUCCAUGGGCUACGGACGCAACAAUACUAUGCCUAAAGAAAUGGGUUAAUUGUGUUAUGAUUGUCAGCUCAUGAGCAGGCCGUUAUCGAUCAAAUGUAUAAGAGGCGGGGACAAUAAUGGUCUCACAAUAGCACUGCGCGAAGUGGUGAACACUCAUGUCAAUGUUGACGUCUCCACUCGUUAUAAAUUCAUCCAAACGACGGGCAUCCCACGCGAGUUCCAUCUGUCCAAUCUCCUCUCGUCUCCAUUGACGACGUCCAUCCAUCCUCGACCCUGUCGCUCAACGAAUAGUGAAUACCAGCACAGCGCGUGCAUGCUGAAGAGAUGGACCCAGCCGUGCUCAUCUUUCUUCUGUACGUGAUGAUAGCCCACGAGCUUGUCUGCGGCUGGAUGCAAUACCGGAGAGAAGCGGCAAAGCCCAGAAAACGCGCUGCACUUAUGUGGUGCUCCAGUUCUCGUGUGUGCCAAGGCACCUGGCGAGUGAGCAGCCAGUCCAUGAGGACAGACCGAGGGAGGGACUGGAGGAAGAGUGGGCGCAUCGUCAGGAAGGCAUGAAGGGAAAAAACAGGGAGACAGACUAUGCAAGACUGAGAUGUGAGACCAGCUCCCUCAAGGGCCCUACUUUAAUUAAAGAGACUUCAGGUCAACUAUGCCACUGACUGCCUUUGUAGAAAGAGAGAAUUUUGAAUUGAAAAAUUGAAUUGAAUUGAGAGAGAGAGAGAGAGAGAGAGAGGGAGAGAGUGUGUGUGUGUUGUUCCCAAUUUGAUACAUUCAGAGUCCAUUGUGUAUACAAAUUGUAAUGUAUGAAGUAUUUCUAUACACAUUUUGGUGUUUCUCAAUGUGUUUUUCAUGUAUGAUGAUAACUGUUUACAUUGCAAUUCUAUUGUUGAAAUAUUCUGUAUGUUUUGGAAUAAAUUCUAAUUGUAAAGUU